rnacentral:rRNA from 1 species
GACGAACGCUGGCGGCGUGCUUAACACAUGCAAGUCGAACGGAAAGGCCCCUUUGGGGGUACUCGAGUGGCGAACGGGGGAGUAACACGUGAGUAACCUGCCCUUGCCUUCGGGAUAACUUCAGGAAACUGGGGCCAAUACCGGAUAGGAAUCCUUGCUGCAUGGGGGGGGUUGGAAAGCUUAGGCGGUUUUGGAUGGGCUCGCGGCGUAUCGGCUUGUUGGUGGGGUAGUGGCUUACCAAGGCUUUGACGGGUAGCCGGCCUGAGGGGGCGACCGGCCACCUUGGGUCUGAGAUGCGGCCCCGACUCCUACGGGUGGCAGCAGUGGGGAAUCUUGCACGAUGGGCGGCAGCCUGAUGCAGCAACGCCGCGUGCGGGAUGACGGCCUUCGGGUUGUAAACCGCUUUCAGCAGGGGCGAAGCUUGUGGUGACGGUACCUGCAGAAGAAGCACCGGCUAACUACGUG